AAAAAAGACAUGUCCCAUUAUUUUAGCUUUUUAAGGACAAUAUAUUCCUAAGUGGAGCAAAAUAUUGAAAAAUUAUAUUUGGCCGAUGUCAAAUAACUGAAUUAAGACUUAUCUUCAAGCAAAUCACAAUUACCAUCCAUUUAGCUAAGUUACUGAUCAGAAAUGGAAAUGAUCGAGCAAAUUGACAACUAACUACUGCUUCACUUGACAAAAUCUACUUUCCA
rnacentral:misc_RNA from 1 species